GGGGAUAUAGCUCAAAGGAAAAAGUGUGUGCUUAGCACAGGUGAGGUCCUGGGUUCAAUUCCCGGUACCUCCA
rnacentral:tRNA from 1 species